GUAGCCGACCUGAGAGGGUGAUCGGCCACAUUGGAACUGAGACACGGUCCAAACUUCUACGGAAGGCAGCAGUAGGGAAUCUUGCACAAUGGGCGAAAGCCUGAUGCAGCAACGCCGCGUGAAGGAUGAAGGCCUUCGGGUUGUAAACUUCUGUUCUAAGGGAAGAAACAAAUGACGGUACCUUAGGAGCAAGCCCCGGCUAACUACGUGCCAGCAGCCGCGGUAAUACGUAGGGGGCAAGCGUUAUCCGGAAUUAUUGGGCGUAAAGAGUGCGUAGGUGGUUACCUAAGCGCAAGGUUUAAUUUAGAGGCUCAACCUCUACUUGCCUUGCGAACUGGGCUACUUGAGUGCAGGAGGGGAAAGCGGAAUUCCUAGUGUAGCGGUGAAAUGCGUAGAUAUUAGGAGGAACACCAGCGGCGAAGGCGGCUUUCUGGACUGUAACUGACACUGAGGCACGAAAGCGUGGGUAGCAAACAGGAUUAGAUACCCUGGUAGUCCACGCCGUAAACGAUGAGCACUAGGUGUUGGGCCCGUUAGGGCUCAGUGCCGCAGUUAACGCAAUAAGUGCUCCGCCUGGGGAGUACGCUCGCAAGAGUAAAACUCAAAGGAAUUGACGGGGACCCGCACAAGCAGCGGAGCAUGUGGUUUAAUUCGAAGCAACGCGAAGAACCUUACCAGGGCUUGACAUCCUGCUGACAGGACCUUAACCGGUCCCUUCUUCGGACAGCAGAGACAGGUGGUGCAUGGUUGUCGUCAGCUCGUGUCGUGAGAUGUUGGGUUAAGUCCCGCAACGAGCGCAACCCUUGCCAUUAGUUGCCAUCAUUUAGUUGGGCACUCUAGUGGGACUGCCGGGGAAAACUCGGAGGAAGGUGGGGAUGACGUCAAAUCAUCAUGCCCCUUAUGUUCUGGGCUACACACGUGCUACAAUGGCCGGUACAACAGGCAGCGAACCCGUGAGGGGGAGCGAAUCCCAAAAGCCGGUCCCAGUUCGGACUGUAGGCUGCAACUCGCCUACACGAAGUUGGAGUUGCUAGUAAUCGCGGAUCAGAAUGCCGCGGUGAAUGCGUUCCCGGGUCUUGUACACACCGCCCGUCACACCAUGGAAGUUGGGGGUGCCCAAAGUCGGUUAAUUAAUCUAUCGCCUAAGGCAAAACCAAUGACUGGGGUGAAGUCGUAACAAGGUAGCCGUAUCGGAAGGUGCGGCUGGAUCA
rnacentral:rRNA from 1 species